GUUGACCUCGGAUCAGGUAGGGAUACCCGCUGAACUUAAGCAUAUCAAUAAGCGGAGGAAAAGAAACCAACAGGGAUUGCCCUAGUAACGGCGAGUGAAGCGGCAACAGCUCAAAUUUGAAAUCUGGCGCAAGCCCGAGUUGUAAUUUGUAGAGGAUGCUUCUGGGCAGCGGCCGGUCUAAGUCCCUUGGAACAGGGCGUCAUAGAGGGUGAGAAUCCCGUAUGCGACCGGCUGGCACCCGUCACGUAGCUCCUUCGACGAGUCGAGUUGUUUGGGAAUGCAGCUCUAAAUGGGAGGUAAAUUCCUUCUAAAGCUAAAUACCGGCCAGUGACCGAUAGCGCACAAGUAGAGUGAUCGAAAGAUGAAAAGCACUUUGGAAAGAGAGUUAAAAAGCACGUGAAAUUGUUGAAAGGGAAGCGCAUGCAACCAGACUUGUCGGCGGUGUUCCGCCGGUCUUCUGACCGGUCUACUCGCCGUCGGCAGGCCAGCAUCAUCUGGGUGCGCCGGAUAAAGGCGUGGGGAAUGUGGCCCCUCGGGGUGUUAUAGCUCCACGCACAAUACGGCGCCGCCCGGGUGAGGUCCGCGCUUCGGCUAGGAUGCUGGCGUAAUGGUUGCCUGCGACCCGUCUUGAAACACGGACCAAGGAGUCUAACAUCUAUGCGAGUGUUCGGGUGUCAAACCCCUACGCGGAAUGAAAGUGAACGGAGGUGGGAAGCUUCGGCUGCACCAUCGACCGAUCCUGAUGUCCUCGGAUGGAUUUGAGUAAGAGCAUAGCUGUUGGGACCCGAAAGAUGGUGAACUAUGCCUGAAUAGGGUGAAGCCAGAGGAAACUCUGGUGGAGGCUCGCAGCGGUUCUGACGUGCAAAUCGAUCGUCAAAUUUGGGUAUAGGGGCGAAAGACUAAUCGAACCAUCUAGUAGCUG
rnacentral:rRNA from 1 species